AUGGACGCCUUCUUCGACGAGGCCAUCGUGGAGCUAUUCGUCAGAACCGGCGUGGCGCCCGCGGACGUCGACAUGCUCGUCGUCAACGUCUCCCUCAUCUCCCCGGCGCCGUCGCUUGCCUGCAGGGUCGUGCCCCGCUUCGGCAUGCGGGAGGACGUCGCCGCGUACAGCCUCUCCAGCAUGAGGUGUGGCGCCGGCCUGGAAUGCGAUGCGGCCAUGCGGGCACGGUCGGUGUCCAUGCUGGCCCUCGUGGUCUCGUCCGAGUCCAUCGCUCCCAGCUGGUACACCGGCACCGACCGGUCCAUGAUGCUGGGCAACUGCCUCUUACGCUCCGGAGGGACGAGCCGUCGCCGGGAGCACCGUCAGCAUCUUCAGUGUUGUUCCUGGAUUAAUUCCAGACUUUUCGGUGGUGUUCGUUCAGUGCGAGAAGACUUUCCCGAUUGA
rnacentral:rRNA from 1 species